UCCGGUUUGGCACCGGCAGUCUCCCUAGAGUUCCCGGCAUGAUCCGCUGGCAACUAAGGACAGGGGUUGCGCUCGUUGCGCCACUUAAGGCAACACCUCACGACACGAGCUGACGACAGCCAUGCACCACCUGCACACAGGCCACAAGGGAACCGACAUCUCUGCCGGCGUCCUGUGCAUGUCAAACCCAGGUAAGGUUUUUCGCGUUGCAUCGAAUUAAUCCACAUGCUCCGCCGCUUGUGCGGGCCCCCGUCAAUUUCUUUGAGUUUUAGCCUUGCGGUCGUAAUCCCCAGGCGGGGUGCUUAAUGCGUUAGCUGCGGCACGGAGGGAGUGGAUAACCCCCCACACCUAGCACCCAUCGUUUACGGCGUGGACUAC
rnacentral:misc_RNA from 1 species